GUUUUAAUUGCUAGGCAUGACAGAAUGGAUUGAUAACUGGAAAGAAAAUGGAUGGAAAACAGCCUCCGGAAGGAAUGUUGUCAACAGAGCAGAUUUUGAGAGGAUUGAUCAAGCUUCCCAAGGAAUGGAUAUUCAGUGGAAGUAUGUUCCUUCUCAUUCCGGCAUCAGAGGCAAUGAAGAUGCUGAUAGACUGGCCACAGAAGGAUCUAGAAAAUAAGAACUUUCCUCAUAGGAGUUACUGUCCUCUUGGAGAGCUGUAUCUGCUGACACCCAUUUCCAAAACCAUCCUGCCAUGAGCAUCUCUAUGUGUAGAACUUGUCUUCUCACCUUUACUUGUUUCUACCUUUUUCUGUUGCUGAUAGUACCAACCUCUUUGUCAAGUACAGUGUAAUAAAAGCAAACUUCCUGCUCAAAAAA